AUUGAACGCUGGCGGCAUGCUUUACACAUGCAAGUCGAACGGUAACAGGCCGCAAGGUGCUGACGAGUGGCGAACGGGUGAGUAAUGCAUCGGAACGUGCCCAGUCGUGGGGGAUAACGCAGCGAAAGCUGCGCUAAUACCGCAUACGAUCUCUGGAUGAAAGCGGGGGACCGAAAGGCCUCGCGCGAUUGGAGCAGCCGAUGUCAGAUUAGGUAGUUGGUGGGGUAAAGGCCCACCAAGCCAACGAACUGUAGCUGGUCUGAGAGGACGACCAGCCACACUGGGACUGAGACACGGCCCAGACUCCUACGGGAGGCAGCAGUGGGGAAUUUUGGACAAUGGGCGCAAGCCUGAUCCAGCAAUGCCGCGUGCAGGAAGAAGGCCUUCGGGUUGUAAACUGCUUUUGUACGGAACGAAACGGUCCUGGUUAAUACCUGGGGCUAAUGACGGUACCGUAAGAAUAAGCACCGGCUAACUACGUGCCAGCAGCCGCCGUAAAAC
rnacentral:rRNA from 1 species